AUGGUGCUGUUUUAAAAGCAAGGAUAAGCAGAAAGGGACAUGGAUUUUAGUUGAUGGAUGACUCACUCACUACAUUCAACUGAACUGAAUCUGCUCUAUACCAGCAAAGGGACAAAUUCAGAAAAUAAAUUGAAGAUGGCCAUGCUGUAACUUCUAAACAUGGUUUGCUUCUCAGAUUUACCUAAACUAAGAAAGGUUUGCUUUAAGAAAUAGUGCUCCCUUCAGAAUGGAAGAAUUUAUCUGCCUCUUAUUUGAUGUGGAUCAGAGCUAAGAUGGCUGACUAAAUAAACAUGGGGGACUGGAAUCUCCUUGGAGAUACUCUGGAGGAAGUUCACAUCCACUCCACCAUGAUUGGAAAGAUCUGGCUCACCAUCCUGUUCAUAUUUCGAAUGCUUGUUCUGGGUGUAGCAGCUGAAGAUGUCUGGAAUGAUGAGCAGUCUGGCUUCAUCUGCAAUACAGAACAACCAGGCUGCAGAAAUGUAUGCUACGACCAGGCCUUUCCUAUCUCCCUCAUUAGAUACUGGGUUCUGCAGGUGAUAUUUGUGUCUUCACCAUCCCUGGUCUACAUGGGCCAUGCAUUGUACCGACUGAGAGUUCUUGAGGAAGAGAGGCAAAGGAUGAAAGCUCAGUUAAGAGUAGAACUGGAGGAGGUAGAGUUUGAAAUGCCUAGGGAUCGGAGGAGAUUGGAGCAAGAGCUUUGUCAGCUGGAGAAAAGGAAACUAAAUAAAGCUCCACUCAGAGGAACCUUGCUUUGCACUUAUGUGAUACACAUUUUCACUCGCUCUGUGGUUGAAGUUGGAUUCAUGAUUGGACAGUACCUUUUAUAUGGAUUUCACUUAGAGCCGCUAUUUAAGUGCCAUGGCCACCCGUGUCCAAAUAUAAUCGACUGUUUUGUCUCAAGACCAACAGAAAAGACAAUAUUCCUAUUAUUUAUGCAAUCUAUAGCCACUAUUUCACUUUUCUUAAACAUUCUUGAAAUUUUCCACCUAGGUUUUAAAAAGAUUAAAAGAGGGCUUUGGGGAAAAUACAAGUUGAAGAAGGAACAUAAUGAAUUCCAUGCAAACAAGGCAAAACAAAAUGUAGCCAAAUACCAGAGCACAUCUGCAAAUUCACUGAAGCGACUCCCUUCUGCCCCUGAUUAUAAUCUGUUAGUGGAAAAGCAAACACACACUGCAGUGUACCCUAGUUUAAAUUCAUCUUCUGUAUUCCAGCCAAAUCCUGACAAUCAUAGUGUAAAUGAUGAGAAAUGCAUUUUGGAUGAACAGGAAACUGUACUUUCUAAUGAGAUUUCCACACUUAGUACUAGUUGUAGUCAUUUUCAACACAUCAGUUCAAACAAUAACAAAGACACUCAUAAAAUAUUUGGAAAAGAACUUAAUGGUAACCAGUUAAUGGAAAAAAGAGAAACUGAAGGCAAAGACAGCAAAAGGAACUACUACUCUAGAGGUCACCGUUCUAUUCCAGGUGUUGCUAUAGAUGGAGAGAACAACAUGAGGCAGUCACCCCAAACAGUUUUCUCCUUGCCAGCUAACUGCGAUUGGAAACCGCGGUGGCUUAGAGCUACAUGGGGUUCCUCUACAGAACAUGAAAACCGGGGGUCACCUCCUAAAGUGCCUGGCUCAAAAGCUACUGCAAGCUCGUUACUGCUCAUCCUCCAGAGGCCCACAUCAAGUCAGCCACGACUCAAGGAGACUCCAAAGAUAAAAGCUGAAGCCAAAAUAUAUGAUUCUAAACACCCUCCUCGGCUACUGCAAAGCACUGUGAGCACUUUCUCAGGACGAGAGCCAAGAAGCCCAGCACCUAUGGGUCACCACAGUUUCCGAGGUCCCAGAUGAAAAAGAUGCGCUCGCUACCACCGUGCGGCGGUCCUUUCUCUCGCAAUAGUCUCAAUGCUCCCGGGCCCUGCCUCCGGACGCCAGGACAGAGGCCGCCGACUCGAAGCGUGAGCAGUUCCGGAGGUACUUGGAGAAGUCGGGGGUGCUGGACACGCUGACCAAGGUGUUGGUAGCCUUAUAUGAAGAACCAGAGAAACCUAACAGUGCUUUGGAUUUUUUAAAGCAUCACUUAGGAGCUGCUACUCCAGAAAAUCCAGAAAUAGAGCUGCUUCGCCUAGAACUGGCCGAAAUGAAAGAGAAGUAUGAAGCUAUUGUAGAAGAAAAUAAAAAACUGAAAGCAAAGCUUGCUCAGUAUGAACCACCUCAGGAGGAGAAGCGUGCUGAAUAGGAUUCUUCUCAGUUUGAAAGACAAUGAAAAAUGGUUUUGUAUGACUUGAAUAGUUUGUAUAGUAUAUAAUCUUUUCUGAACAGAUGCUAUAGAACUCUUUUAAUAUGUUUAAUUCACCUAUCACACUCUGUUAAAAACACAUAGAAUCAUCAAUAAAAACUCAAUAUAACUUUCUUUGGGUCUUAAAGCAGGAGAAUCCAAAGUAAAUCCUGAACAAAACCUAAACACAGCCAUCUAACUCAUUACCUUAAAAGACAUUCUGUUUAUUAGUCUGAUUAGGAAUGAUGGCACUGGUUGUAUUUUAGCCAAGACAGUUUAGCAUGGAGCUAUUCCUUGGUGCAGUUCAGGAUAUGAACACAGGUACAGUCAUUCUUUGAAGGUGACACUGUUCUGUAUAUUCCCUAUAGGCAGCUGGAGAGAUCUGUGUGACACAAGAUGCUUUUGUACGGGUUCCCAUGAAUCUUCUGCUCUUGUUUGUGUGACAUGGAACAAAUAACUUCUUUGCCACCACUUUGCCUUAGAUAACUGUGUGUGUGUGUGCCAGUUUGAACUCUGACACCACAUUUUCCUUCUAUGCAAUCAUGCCUGUCUGAUAAUCUUGCAUUGCUUUCCUCUGAGCUUUAGUGGGUCCUAGUUGCACACUGGCCUUUCUGUGCUGUUUUUCAAUUUGCCUAAUAAUAGCAGUUACCCUGAUUGUAAUUUAUGUAACUUUAAACAGGAUCACACUGUACCCCCUGCCUGCCUUAUUUGCUUACUGAGCACAGGACAGAGGCAAUAUACAACUCUGGGUUCACACACAAGCUGAGAUGAGAAGAGGAAUGAGCCAUAUAUUGGGGAAAAUCAUAGUUUGUAGGUAUAAUUAUAUAGUGCUUUUCUCCCUCAAAGUAUUUUUCUAGCCUUGAAUUCAUUUUAUCUUCAUUAUCCCUGUGAAGUAGGUGGGACAAGUAUAAGGGGAAGAGGGGUGCUGAAUUUUUAGGCCAAAGACUGAUAUUAAUACAAAUCACUCACUAACUGUAGAGCCUUGGGCAUUAUCAGUGAACUACUCUGAGAUUUACUGUCUUCAUCUGUUUAAUGAGUAGAAUGUCCGUGAUGCCUACCUCACAGGGUUGUUGUGAGGGUCAAAUGAGAAUGUAUGUGAAAGAUUUGUAAAUGGUAAAGCACUAUAUUCUUGUUUGUUAGUCCUUUUUCCUUUCUUUGGGUAGACCUACAGUCAGAUGUUUUGUUUUAUGGAUCACUUAUUUUCCUUACUGGUAGACUGUCGUUUUAUAGACAUAUUCCUAUUUCAUAUAUUCUCUCCCUGUUGUUAGAGAACCUAUCUUUGUUUUUGGUCAAAACACACAUAGAAAACAAAAUGAUCCAAUGAAAACUGGUUUAACUAGCAAAAGCCUUGGCACCUGUUGGAGACUAUGACCAAGCCAAUAAAAAGGGCAUUUAAAUCAGCCCUGUUAGUAGGAAUGUGGCUAUGGCUGGUGCCUCUUCUAGUCACAAGUUUGUUUUUGGAGGGGGUCCAGAAGAUCAUUCCCUUGCAUAGAUUUCUCUUUUACCAAUUUGAGUGCCUCCUACAUGGGCAGCAGUGGACUAAGUGCUGGGUGUGAUAAAGAGGAAUGACUUAAUUAUGAGACUGUAUAUAAUCAAAUACAGUGUGGGUUAGGACCUGUGGCAGACCAUUAUAAUAAAGCAUGGCCCCGUGAGGGUUUUGAAAGAGAGAGAGACUUGGCUUCCUUAGUUGGUAUGAUAGUUUCUUGGUAGAUACAGGUUGAAAAUUUUUUGUGGCAGCCAAUCCUCAUGGGCUUUUUACUCAUUUGAUUAGUAUUAAUAUUUAUGUCAGUAAGCCAGGUGACUGUGACUGUCUUUGGUACCAUCCUUUUUGAACAGAAAGGCAACAUGUGGGUUGGAUAAUCACACUUUUAGGUGAAACUGACUUGCUUAAACUGUAACAGUCAGUGCUAUUUAAGAAUUCAGGAUAAGCUUAGCCUCUAGAGGUCCUCUUCAACAUUUCUGUCAAGGAUUUGGAUGAAUACAACAAGAUGCUCCAUGGAAGAGAAAAUGGAUAAAUGGAUCCCACCAGUUAAGCUCCUAUUAUGCUUCAGCUGCUUUGUCUAUAAAAUAUCGACUUCACAUCUUGCCUAUCUCACAAGUUGGUUGUAAGAAUCAAAUUAAAUAUAAUGGAUGUAAAAGUG
rnacentral:lncRNA from 1 species